UGGGGAAUAUUGCACAAUGGGGGAAACCCUGAUGCAGCGACGCCGCGUGAGCGAAGAAGGUUUUCGAAUCGUAAAGCUCUGUCCUAUGAGAAGAUAAUGACGGUAUCAUAGGAGGAAGCCCCGGCUAAAUACGUGCCAGCAGCCGCGGUAAUACGUAUGGGGCGAGCGUUGUCCGGAAUUAUUGGGCGUAAAGCGCGCGCAGGUGGUUUAGAAAGUCUGAUGUGAAAGCCCACGGCUCAACCGUGGAGGGUCAUUGGAAACUAAUAAACUUGAGUGCAGGAGAGAAAAGUGGAAUUCCUAGUGUAGCGGUGAAAUGCGUAGAGAUUAGGAGGAACACCGGUGGCGAAAGCGGCUUUUUGGCCUGCAACUGACACUGAGGCGCGAAAGCGUGGGGAGCAAACAGG
rnacentral:rRNA from 1 species